rnacentral:misc_RNA from 1 species
AACACUGUUAACCUGCGGUACCUGCGGAGGGAUCAUUACCGAAUGUUACCAAACAAACCACUGUGAACCGUCCCUUUAGCUGCUUCGGCGGGCGAUCCCAGGGCGGGAUCCCGGGCUCCUUACGGGGUGCUCGCCGGCGGCCACUUUCUAGCUCUAUUAUCUAGCGGGCUUCUGAGUGUAAACAAAAAAUAAUCAAAACUUUCAACAAUGGAUCU